rnacentral:rRNA from 1 species
UACGUAGGGGGCAAGCGUUGUCCGGAAUCAUUGGGCGUAAAGAGCGUGUAGGCGGCCUGGUAAGUCCGCUGUGAAAGUCCAGGGCUCAACCCUGGAAUGCCGGUGGAAACUGUCAGGCUCGAGUCCGGAAGAGGCGAGUGGAAUUCCUGGUGUAGCGGUGAAAUGCGCAGAUAUCAGGAGGAACACCAAUGGCGAAGGCAGCUCGCUGGGACGGUACUGACGCUGAGACGCGAAAGCGUGGGGAGCGAACAGG